UAAAAAAGAAAUAUUUUUAAAAAAAGAAACAAAUCCCUAUUCCCUAAUUCUGCCCAAAUGGAGGUUUUGCUGCUUUCACAAGUUUGUUUCUGCUGUUGAUAGUGAGAACUUUCACAUGCUUACACUGAGAAACUAAGGAGAACAGCCCUGCCACCACAAGGAAAAGGAAAUUCAUGAAGCAGUUGCUGAAGUUAGAUCCACAGUUGUAAAGACUCUGCAGAGGAUGAAAGACACUAAUUCUCUCCCAUAGAAACAGCAACUUCUUAUAGAUACAGAAUGUUGCUUUAGUUGUUCUCUGUGUUAAAUAAAUAUGAUCAGAAUUAUUAAAAAUAAAGGUUUGGA